rnacentral:rRNA from 1 species
ACGGAAGGCAGCAGUGGGGAAUAUUGCACAAUGGGCGAAAGCCUGAUGCAGCGACGCCGCGUGAGUGAAGAAGUUAUUCGUAACGUAAAGCUCUAUCAGCAGGGAAGAAAAUGACGGUACCUGACUAAGAAGCCCCGGCUAACUACGUGCCAGCAGCCGCGGUAAUACGUAGGGGGCAAGCGUUAUCCGGAUUUACUGGGUGUAAAGGGAGCGUAGACGGCGAAGCAAGUCUGAUGUGAAAGGCAGGGGCUCAACCCCUGGACUGCAUUGGAAACUGUUUGGCUAGAGUGCAGGAGAGGUAAGUGGAAUUCCUAGUGUAGCGGUGAAAUGCGUAGAUAUUAGGAGGAACACCAGUGGCGAAGGCGGCUUACUGGACUGUAACUGACGUUGAGGCUCGAAAGCGUGGGGAGCAAACAGGAUUAGAUACCCUGGUA